GCUUGUCGGGCGGGUAGCAUUUAUUAGAUUGAAACCAAUGCAGCUUUCGGGCUGGUAUUGUGUUGAAUCAUAAUAACUGUGCGGAUCGCACUUUUGUGCGAUAAAUCGAUUGAGUUUCUGCCCUAUCAGCUUUGGAUGGUAGGAUAUGGGCCUACCAUGGCAUUAACGGGUAACGGGGAAUUAGGGUUUGAUUCCGGAGAGGGAGCCUUAGAAACGGCUACCACAUCCAAGGAAGGCAGCAGGCGCGUAAAUUACCCAAUCCUGACACAGGG
rnacentral:ncRNA from 1 species